ACUCUUAUUAGCUUAAAAGGUAGAGCAGGAUUUUUCUACAGUCCGAGGUUCAAGUUCAAGUCUUGAGUAAGUGUA
rnacentral:tRNA from 1 species